AGUGAACGCUGGCGGUAGGCCUAACACAUGCAAGUCGAACGGCAGCACAGUAAGAGCUUGCUCUUACGGGUGGCGAGUGGCGGACGGGUGAGGAAUACAUCGGAAUCUACUUUUUCGUGGGGGAUAACGUAGGGAAACUUACGCUAAUACCGCAUACGACCUACGGGUGAAAGCAGGGGAUCUUCGGACCUUGCGCGAUUGAAUGAGCCGAUGUCGGAUUAGCUAGUUGGCGGGGUAAAGGCCCACCAAGGCGACGAUCCGUAGCUGGUCUGAGAGGAUGGUACGCCACACUUGAACUGGAACACCGUUCCGGACACUAAGGGAGGGCAGAGUGGGGUAAAUUUGGCAAUGGGCGCAAGCCUGAUCCAGCCAUACCGCGUGGGUGAAGAAGGCCUUCGGGUUGUAAGGCCCUUUUGUUGGGAAAGAAAAGCAGCAGGUUAAUACCCCGCUGUUCUGACGGUACCCAAAGAAUAAGCACCGGCUAACUUCGUG
rnacentral:rRNA from 1 species